UCUCAAAAAAAACCUGGGUUUCCGUGAUCAACGUUUAACUGUCCGUCUUGUAUGAAUUUUUUUAUAAUUAGUAUUUUCAUAGUUGUUAGAUGAUAAAAUAUGAUUAAUAUUUUAUACGUGACUUGUCUUUUUAAUUUUUUUUCAUAAAUUUUUCAAAUAAAACGGACGGUCAAACGUUGGACACGGAAACCCAGGGUUUGUCUUUUU
rfam:Oryza sativa Japonica Group DNA, chromosome 5, cultivar: Nipponbare, complete sequence.